UUCCUCCGUGCCAAGGCUGGAGGCCACGAUCAGCCCUCAGGGAUCAUUAUCAGGACUGCCAUGAGCUGAGCCACCUUGUUUUCCUGCUUCACACAUGU
ensembl:scaRNA